UGCAAGUCGAGCGGUACAGAGAUAGCUUGCUAUCUGCUGACGAGCGGCGGACGGGUGAGUAAUGCUUGGGAAUAUGCCUUAUGGUGGGGGACAACAGUUGGAAACGACUGCUAAUACCGCAUAACGUCUACGGACCAAAGGGGGGGAUCUUCGGACCUCUCGCCAUUUGAUUAGCCCAAGUGAGAUUAGCUAGUUGGUGAGGUAAUGGCUCACCAAGGCGACGAUCUCUAGCUGGUUUGAGAGGAUGAUCAGCCACACUGGGACUGAGACACGGCCCAGACUCCUACGGGAGGCAGCAGUGGGGAAUAUUGCACAAUGGGCGAAAGCCUGAUGCAGCCAUGCCGCGUGUGUGAAGAAGGCCUUCGGGUUGUAAAGCACUUUCAGUUGUGAGGAAAGGGGAGUAGUUAAUAGCUGCUUCCUGUGACGUUAACAACAGAAGAAGCACCGGCUAACUUCGUGCCAGCAGCCGCGGUAAUACGAGGGGUGCAAGCGUUAAUCGGAAUUACUGGGCGUAAAGCGUUCGUAGGCGGUCUAUUAAGCAAGAUGUGAAAGCCCAGGGCUCAACCUUGGAACUGCAUUUUGAACUGGUAGACUAGAGUACUGUAGAGGGUGGUGGAAUUUCCAGUGUAGCGGUGAAAUGCGUAGAGAUUGGAAGGAACAUCAGUGGCGAAGCGGCCACCUGGACAGAUACUGACGCUGAGGAACGAAAGCGUGGGGAGCGAACAGGAUU
rnacentral:rRNA from 1 species